UCCCCCUCCCCUCCCCCCCAAAACCCCUCUCUCUCUGGCCAUUCUUUUCCCGCUGCACCGGAGGAUGGACGCGUGAGACUCGAGUUUGCCGACGAAGUCGACACCAUUCGCGGGUUCUCCAUUUCCUUUUUGUUAUGGUUGUGAGCUUGGUUGAUUAAUGGCAUCAUCUGUAAAUAUAAAACCUGGCAUACCAGUAGUUCUGCGGGAGCUAGAGUCCUCUUCACCACUGUUUAAGCAAGGUUCAUCUCUUCGAGUUACAGGAAAGCUACAAGCAUACAUUGUGGAAACAGCUAUUGCAGUUAUUACCGAUGGGGGUGUCAGCCUCAAGAUUGAUACCCAGCACUUGAGAGACAUCAGUUUCCGCAUUAGCUCCAUCUACCAGUUCAUUGGCGAACUCCUUGUUCAUCCAGAAAAUGAUGCAGUCCUGCAGGCACGUGUUGGUAGGAAUGUGGAUGGCAUGGACCUCAACCUAUACCACCAGUCUCUGCAGCUCCGUAGGCAAUUUGAAUCGGAACUCGUCAAUUCAAGGGCAAAUUAGCUCAGACCUUCAAUAUAGGGGUAGCAAUCAAGGUUUGGUCAAUGAGGACGGCUCAUGUUAAUGACCAACUUGUGACCACAGCACAUAGGCAUGCAAACUGACCAACCAUUGAGUAACGUGUCAGCUGUCGUUCUUUGUAAGGCAUGGCAAUUGUGAUUCAUCCUAAACCAAUUACUACAUCAUGCCAUGCCGACAAAGGUUCUUGACUGCUUCCAGCAUUUUCUAGGAUUCCUCCUGAAGGAAUUGGCGCAGUGAUAUCCCCUCCCUGCUCUGCCAAACCUUAAGUGCAUGUCAACCUCGAUGCUCUGGAAGUGAUUUGUUUUCUGGCCAACAGGAUUUUGUCCACUUGGUUGGCAUGGCACCUUGUUCUCAUGGAAAGAGAUCGGUAGGGCA